GACGAACGCUGGCGGCGUGCUUAACACAUGCAAGUCGAACGGAAAGGCCCUGCUUUUGUGGGGUGCUCGAGUGGCGAACGAGUGAGUAACACGUGAGUAACCUGCCCUUGACUUUGGGAUAACUUCAGGAAACUGGGGCUAAUACCGGAUAGGAGCUCCUGCUGCAUGGUGGGGGUUGGAAAGUUUCGGCGGUUGGGGAUGGACUCGCGGCUUAUCAGCUUGUUGGUGGGGUAGUGGCUUACCAAGGCUUUGACGGGUAGCCGGCCUGAGAGGGUGACCGGCCACAUUGGGACUGAGAUACGGCCCAGACUCCUACGGGAGGCAGCAGUGGGGAAUAUUGCACAAUGGGCGGAGGCCUGAUGCAGCAACGCCGCGUGCGGGAUGACGGCCUUCGGGUUGUAAACCGCUUUCGCCUGUGACGAAGCGUGAGUGACGGUAAUGGGUAAAGAAGCACCGGCUAACUACGUG
rnacentral:rRNA from 1 species